rnacentral:rRNA from 1 species
AAAUUGAAGAGUUUGAUCAUGGCUCAGAUUGAACGCUGGCGGCAGGCCUAACACAUGCAAGUCGAGCGGUAGCACAGAGAGCUUGCUCUCGGGUGACGAGCGGCGGACGGGUGAGUAAUGUCUGGGAAACUGCCUGAUGGAGGGGGAUAACUACUGGAAACGGUAGCUAAUACCGCAUAAUGUCGCAAGACCAAAGUGGGGGACCUUCGGGCCUCAUGCCAUCAGAUGUGCCCAGAUGGGAUUAGCUAGUAGGUGGGGUAACGGCUCACCUAGGCGACGAUCCCUAGCUGGUCUGAGAGGAUGACCAGCCACACUGGAACUGAGACACGGUCCAGACUCCUACGGGAGGCAGCAGUGGGGAAUAUUGCACAAUGGGCGCAAGCCUGAUGCAGCCAUGCCGCGUGUGUGAAGAAGGCCUUCGGGUUGUAAAGCACUUUCAGCGGGGAGGAAGGCGUUAAGGUUAAUAACCUUGGCGAUUGACGUUACCCGCAGAAGAAGCACCGGCUAACUCCGUGCCAGCAGCCGCGGUAAUACGGAGGGUGCAAGCGUUAAUCGGAAUUACUGGGCGUAAAGCGCACGCAGGCGGUCUGUCAAGUCGGAUGUGAAAUCCCCGGGCUCAACCUGGGAACUGCAUUCGAAACUGGCAGGCUAGAGUCUUGUAGAGGGGGUAGAAUUCCAGGUGUAGCGGUGAAAUGCGUAGAGAUCUGGAGGAAUACCGGUGGCGAAGGCGGCCCCCUGGACAAAGACUGACGCUCAGGUGCGAAAGCGUGGGGAGCAAACAGGAUUAGAUACCCUGGUAGUCCACGCCGUAAACGAUGUCGAUUUGGAGGUUGUGCCCUUGAGGCGUGGCUUCCGGAGCUAACGCGUUAAAUCGACCGCCUGGGGAGUACGGCCGCAAGGUUAAAACUCAAAUGAAUUGACGGGGGCCCGCACAAGCGGUGGAGCAUGUGGUUUAAUUCGAUGCAACGCGAAGAACCUUACCUGGUCUUGACAUCCACAGAACUUUCCAGAGAUGGAUUGGUGCCUUCGGGAACUGUGAGACAGGUGCUGCAUGGCUGUCGUCAGCUCGUGUUGUGAAAUGUUGGGUUAAGUCCCGCAACGAGCGCAACCCUUAUCCUUUGUUGCCAGCGGUUCGGCCGGGAACUCAAAGGAGACUGCCAGUGAUAAACUGGAGGAAGGUGGGGAUGACGUCAAGUCAUCAUGGCCCUUACGACCAGGGCUACACACGUGCUACAAUGGCAUAUACAAAGAGAAGCGACCUCGCGAGAGCAAGCGGACCUCAUAAAGUAUGUCGUAGUCCGGAUUGGAGUCUGCAACUCGACUCCAUGAAGUCGGAAUCGCUAGUAAUCGUAGAUCAGAAUGCUACGGUGAAUACGUUCCCGGGCCUUGUACACACCGCCCGUCACACCAUGGGAGUGGGUUGCAAAAGAAGUAGGUAGCUUAACCUUCGGGAGGGCGCUUACCACUUUGUGAUUCAUGACUGGGGUGAAGUCGUAACAAGGUAACCGUAGGGGAACCUGCGGUUGGAUCACCUCCUUA